rnacentral:rRNA from 1 species
AUUGAACGCUGGCGGCAGGCCUAACACAUGCAAGUCGAGCGGAUGAGUGGAGCUUGCUCCAUGAUUCAGCGGCGGACGGGUGAGUAAUGCCUAGGAAUCUGCCUGGUAGUGGGGGACAACGUUUCGAAAGGAACGCUAAUACCGCAUACGUCCUACGGGAGAAAGUGGGGGAUCUUCGGACCUCACGCUAUCAGAUGAGCCUAGGUCGGAUUAGCUAGUUGGUGAGGUAAAGGCUCACCAAGGCGACGAUCCGUAACUGGUCUGAGAGGAUGGUCAGUCACAGUGGAACUGAGACACGGUACAGACGCCUACGGGAGGCAGCAGUGGGGAAUAUUGGACAAGGGGCGAAAGCCUGAUCCAGCCAUGCCGCGGGUGUGAAGAAGGUCUUCGGAUUGUAAAGCACUUUAAGUUGGGAGGAAGGGCAGUAAGUUAAUACCUUGCUGUUUUGACGUUACCAACAGAAUAAGCACCGGCUAACUUCGUGCCAGCAGCCGCAGUAACAC